ACUUUCAACAACGGAUCUCUUGGUUCUGGCAUCGAUGAAGAACGCAGCAAAAUGCGAUAAGUAAUGUGAAUUGCAGAAUUCAGUGAAUCAUCGAAUCUUUGAACGCACAUUGCGCCCGCCAGUAUUCUGGCGGGCAUGCCUGUUCGAGCGUCAUUUCAACCCUCAAGCCCAGCUUGGUGUUGGGAGCUGCAGUCCUGCUGCACUCCCCAAAUACAUUGGCGGUCACGUCGAGCUUCCAUAGCGUAGUAAUUUACACAUCGUUACUGGUAAUCGUCGCGGCCACGCCGUUAAACCCCAACUUCUGAAUGUUGACCUCGGAUCAGGUAGGAAUACCCGCUGAACUUAAGCAUAUCAAUAAGCGGAGGAAAAGAAACCAACAGGGAUUGCCCUAGUAACGGCGAGUGAAGCGGCAACAGCUCAAAUUUGAAAUCUGGCUUUCGGGCCCGAGUUGUAAUUUGUAGAGGAUGAUUUUGAUGCGGUGCCUUCCGAGUUCCCUGGAACGGGACGCCAUAGAGGGUGAGAGCCCCGUCUGGUUGGAUGCCAAAUCUCUGUAAAUCUCCUUCGACGAGUCGAGUAGUUUGGGAAUGCUGCUCUAAAUGGGAGGUAUAUGUCUUCUAAAGCUAAAUACCGGCCAGAGACCGAUAGCGCACAAGUAGAGUGAUCGAAAGAUGAAAAGCACUUUGAAAAGAGAGUUAAAAAGUACGUGAAAUUGUUGAAAGGGAAGCGUUUAUGACCAGACUUGGGCUUGGUUAAUCAUCUGGGGUUCUCUCCAGUGCACUUUUCCAGUCCAGGCCAGCAUCAGUUUUCGCCGGGGGAUAAAGGCUUCGGGAAUGUGGCUCCCCUCGGGGAGUGUUAUAGCCCGUUGUGUAAUACCCUGGCGGGGACUGAGGUUCGCGCUUCUGCAAGGAUGCUGGCGUAAUGGUCAUCAACGACCCGUCUUGAAACACGGACCAAGGAGUCGUCUUCGUAUGCGAGUGUUCGGGUGUCAAACCCCUACGCGUAAUGAAAGUGAACGCAGGUGAGAGCUUCGGCGCAUCAUCGACCGAUCCUGAUGUUCUCGGAUGGAUUUGAGUAAGAGCAUACGGGGCCGGACCCGAAAGAAGGUGAACUAUGCCUGUGUAGGGUGAAGCCAGAGGAAACUCUGGUGGAGGCUCGCAGCGGUUCUGACGUGCAAAUCGAUCGUC
rnacentral:rRNA from 1 species